UGCCCAUCAACUCCUAUCCCUACCUCCUCGCGGUACUGGCCGGGGUACGAGUAACCUUAGGGAAGAUCGGGUAACCAACCCCCGGUAGGAACUUUGGUGGUAUGCUGACAGGGAAGG
rnacentral:ribozyme from 1 species